ensembl:miRNA mir-82 ncRNA
GAAAUAGGUUCUUUUAGCAACCGGUUUUCUCUGUGAUCUACAGAAUGACAGCUAAUCGUCUGAGAUCAUCGUGAAAGCCAGUUGUUUUUAUGAACUC